GAUGAACGCUGGCGGCGUGCCUAAUACAUGCAAGUCGAGCGAACAGAUAAGGAGCUUGCUCCUUUGACGUUAGCGGCGGACGGGUGAGUAACACGUGGGUAACCUACCUAUAAGACUGGGAUAACUUCGGGAAACCGGAGCUAAUACCGGAUAAUAUUUCGAACCGCAUGGUUCGAUAGUGAAAGAUGGUUUUGCUAUCACUUAUAGAUGGACCCGCGCCGUAUUAGCUAGUUGGUAAGGUAACGGCUUACCAAGGCGACGAUACGUAGCCGACCUGAGAGGGUGAUCGGCCACACUGGAACUGAGACACGGUCCAGACUCCUACGGGAGGCAGCAGUAGGGAAUCUUCCGCAAUGGGCGAAAGCCUGACGGAGCAACGCCGCGUGAGUGAUGAAGGUCUUCGGAUCGUAAACUCUGUUAUUAGGGAAGAACAUACGUGUAAGUAACUGUGCACGUCUUGACGGUACCUAAUCAGAAAGCCACGGCUAACUACGU
rnacentral:rRNA from 1 species